GUCAACGGCCAUAUCAUGCUGAAUUCACCAGUUCUCGUCUGAUCACUGAAGUUAAGCAGCAUUGAGCGUGGUUAGUACUUGGAUGGGUGACCGCUUGGGAACACCACGUGCUGUUGGCAUUU
rnacentral:rRNA from 1 species